rnacentral:lncRNA from 1 species
AGUAGCACACACAUACAUGUCAUUACAUGGACAUUACAAGUCGUAACUUUCAGUCUUUCAAAAGUUCCUUCAAAACAAAUUAAAACGUUAAAAAACGGAGAUCGGGUAAUGAGUCUAAUUUUUUAAAGUAAUAGUUUCAGGUGAAGUUUUCACGUGUACCUGGCCAACUAGGUGCUCGUGACAAUAGAAAUAAAAUUGCCUAAAAUCCAAUAAUCCAAGUUCGCAAGCUAUGUCUUCUGAAGCUAAACAAUUUCUGUUGCAAGAUUUUGUAAAUCUUCAAGAUAUUGAUGUCUUCGCCAGAUCCAAUUCUUUGAUGCUAUCUAUUUUGCGGCACAACAGCAAGAAAAUGCUGCCACUUAAGAUUUUGUGGUAAUCGCCACUUUGUUCUAAUUUAGGAGGGCAAUGUGAGAUUGAUAGGUUCGAGGUUAAUCCCUAUCAUCUGUUAUGGAAACCUACAAGAGAUUACUGGAAUUGAAGACUAAUAAUUUGCGAAGGAGGAUGAGGAGGGCUCUGGUCGAACGGGGACUUGGAAGACGGAUUAUCUGAGAAAAACUUUUGGAGGGUCAUGAGUCUAUCCGGAAAUCCUGCUAUGACUAAUCGUUCCCUAGCAAAACUGGCCUACGACUCUUCUCUCUUCUUCACCGGCCAGGUGUUGUUUAUGUUCCUGUCAUUGCUGCCCGAUGUGGCACGUUGUUGCAGCCUAUGCUGGUGAAAGCUCUUAUUGCAUGAAGUUAAACUGGCUGUUCCUUGGUCCUGCUGUCGUGUUAAAUUGUAAUCGUGUCUAUACAGUUUACUGUUUUUGUGUGAAGAAAAAACAAAAACAGAAAUAUGGGGAUGUUUUAUGUCAAAAAAAUAAUAAACAUGUGUUUGGGAUUGGGAUAGGAAAGUAGAGGAUGUAGUAGGGAGGAGAUUUCAAGUAUGGAAAAAAAUCAAUUAAUCUGUAACACAACAAACAUAUACCUACUAAUUAACCUCCAAACUCCACAAACUUCUAAUCUUCAAACCCCACAAACAUAUACCCAGCAUAUACCUACCAACUCUCAAACUUACACCCUCAACCCCAUAAACCAGUGUUAACUUAACAAAAUGAUGUAUGUAAUAAAUAAAAAAGAUACAUUUAAUAC